GGAGCGGUUACCUGGGGCGGUCCCGAAAGGAGCCGGCGACUGCCGUCCCUGCUCGGAAACUGGGGCCCCCGCCCGCCCCUAACACCCCCAGGGCAGCCCUGAAGAGAAGCGAGGAGUCCCCCAGCGCCGUGCUCAGAAGGCCGGCAGAAAGUCAAACGUCAGUUUGUGGAUUCAGACGCAUGAAUUUCACGGAACCCUUUCUCAUCAAAACAACAGUCAUCUGCCUUGGGAGUCAAUCUGGGUGGACUGCCCAGCAGAUACCACGUGUGCCCCCAGCCCCCACUGACUCGCUCAAGGCAUCUGUCUCUCCUCAUUCCCCUCUCCCUGGCCACAGCCUUGGGGCCAGAGGAGGAUGUGGACCCUGGGCCAGGGCAAACAGUAGGCUCUUCCCGUGGAGCAAAGGGACACCAGAGCUGGUGCAGCCCUUUUGGCACCUUGAAAUAAGGGGGCACUCCCGAACUGCAUUUGGAACACGAACGCUGUUUGUCUCUACGUGUGUUUCAACAAGGAAACAACCCUGUGUCUUCGCACCGUGUGGGUGGCCAGCAUCCCAGAGUGGCGUCUUCCCUGCUCCAUGCGUUGGCCAUGACAGUCACGGUCACGGGCCGGAAAGAGUUGUCCUAGACUUUUGGUGAGGCUAACUGCAUUCCAAAGGCUGUGCAUUGAGAUAACGAAACUCCUGGUCAUUUUUUACAUCUACAUGAACGUGGUCCAUGGCAAAACUUGCAUCCGUCUUAAUUCUAAGACGUAUAAUGGUUCCAGUUAUGUGUAAGAUCUUACCCCAAAACUUAGCGGUUGAAGACACCCACACACGCAUUUGGCUACGCACAAACAAACAAACCGAAAACCCUACAGUGUGGGAGGGCUUGGCCAACUUUGGCUGCUUGUGCAAACAUGAGUAAGCAUUUCAAGAUGGCGGCAGGAGACCGUUACACCAAGUGUGGAGCCCCCUUGUGACCCCAGGUGCAGCUGCACACAUUCCCGAAAUCAGCUCUGGCUGAGAUGUUGGGUGAGGCUGUCCCACGGACACCACAUCACAAGCUUCCGGGAGGACAGAGGGAUGAAACCAGGUCAUCAUUUAUGAUCCGGUUGGGGUUGACGGCUGACGGGAGCCAAGGGUCAUUGGUCGGGAGACCUUUGUCGGCCACAGGAUGGCCGUCGAUCACUGACGAGCUCGGGUGGUUUCCCGUGAUCCGUCUUGUGGGCAGGAAGCGUUUGACACGGGCCCUCGGGUUGAAACAACCCCUGUCUCCUUCUGACGGUCCUCCUCUUGGGGGAUCGUGGCGAGGAGAUCCCAGUGUGGCAGCAUGUUUUUACCUCAACGCCCCGGAUCUGCUGUCUUCCCACACUGGAGAAUGAAAAGAUUGAUGCAAAGUGAGCAGGAGGCAAAAAUCGAUUAGAAGAAAACAUCCAGAAGGAAGGAAAUGUGCAAACUGUCUUAACAGAGAGGAGGCACUCGAAAGUGAAUGCCUGAGGACGGCCCGCAACUUCCUUGUUUAUGAGGUUUUGGGUGCCCCCCUCCCCCCUUAUCUGCCUUAUUGGCUGCAGAGGUCUGGGUGCUGGGUUGCACAUUCCUGAUCGACUCACUUGCAGCGUGUGAGGGCUGCUCUGUGUCCACGCUGGACCCCGUGGGUCUUAACGUUUUAUGGCCUGCUAGUGAUUUUUAUUGUUUUUAUUUCAAAAAAGAUUUUGUUUCUUAAUCUUUAGACAUUCUUGCGAGGCACAGAGACAGAG